GACGAACGCUGGCGGCGUGCUUAACACAUGCAAGUCGAACGGAAAGACCCUGCUUUUGUGGGGUGCUCGAGUGGCGAACGGGUGAGUAAAACGUGAGUAAACUGCCCCUGACUUUGGGAUAACUUCAGGAAACUGGGGAUAAUACCGGAUAGGAGCUACUGCUGCAUGGUGGGGGAUGGAAAGUUUCGGCGGUUGGGGAUGGAUUCGCGGCUUAUGAGCUUGAUAGUGGGGUAGGGGCGGUCCAAGGCUGUGACGGGUAGCCGGCCUGGGAGGGUGACCGGCGACAUGGGGCCUGAGGUACGGCGCAGACUCCUACGGGACGCAGCGGUGGGGAAUAUUGCGCAAUGGGCGCAAGCGUGAGGCAGCGGCGCCGCGUGCGUGAUGCCGGCCUUCGGGUGGUAAACCGCUUUCGCCUGUGACGAAGCGGGAGUGACGGUAACGGGUAAAGAAGCACCGGCUAACUACGUG
rnacentral:rRNA from 1 species